CCCUUAGAUGUUCUGGGCUGCACGCGCGCUACACUGAUACUUUCAGCGAGUCCACCACCUUGCCUGAGAGGGUGGGGUAACCUCUGGAAAGUGUAUCGUGAUGGGGAUCGAUUAUUGUAAUUAUUAAUCUUCAACGAGGAAUUCCUAGUAAGCAUGUGUCAUCAGCCCGUGCUGAUUACGUCCCUGCCCUUUGUACACACCGCCCGUCGCACCUACCGAUUGAAUGGUCCGGUGAAAUCUCGGGACGGCGGCUUGGUCGCUUGCGUCCGACUGCUGAAACUUGAUUAAACCAUAUCAUUUAGAGGAAGGUGAAGUCGUANCA
rnacentral:rRNA from 1 species